rnacentral:lncRNA from 1 species
CGGCUCCGCUCCGGAGAGGUGGGCGGAGGGAAGAGAAGGCGGGGCCGGCGAGGCGAGAGGAAGAGGAAGGAACGCGCCUGGCGUCACUGAGGGUGUAACCCGGGACCGCUGCUCAGGCACCCCACAUGGACCUUGUGCUGUCGCUGCCAUGGCACCCCUUCUAGAAGGACUCUAUUGUGUGUAACAGAAGUGGGAGCCUUGGACAACUGAACACCUAUCAAGAAAUGUCAGCUUUUUUUUUUUUUUUUUUUUUUCUUGAGACUGUCACCCAGUCUGGAGUUCAGUGGCACCAUCUUGGCUCUCUGUAACCUCCACCUCCUGGGCUCAAGAGAUUCUCCUGCCUCAGCCUCCUGAGUAGCUGGGACUACAGGUAUACACCAUCACUCCUCGCUAGU